UAGGGAAUCUUCGGCAAUGGACGAAAGUCUGACCGAGCAACGCCGCGUGAGUGAAGAAGGUUUUCGGAUCGUAAAACUCUGUUGUUAGAGAAGAACAAGGACGUUAGUAACUGAACGUCCCCUGACGGUAUCUAACCAGAAAGCCACGGCUAACUACGUGCCAGCAGCCGCGGUAAUACGUAGGUGGCAAGCGUUGUCCGGAUUUAUUGGGCGUAAAGCGAGCGCAGGCGGUUUCUUAAGUCUGAUGUGAAAGCCCCCGGCUCAACCGGGGAGGGUCAUUGGAAACUGGGAGACUUGAGUGCAGAAGGGGAGAGUGGAAUUCCAUGUGUAGCGGUGAAAUGCGUAGAUAUAUGGGGGAACACCAGUGGCGAAGGCGGCUCUCUGGUCUGUAACUGACGCUGAGGCUCGAAAGCGUGGGGAGCAAACAGG
rnacentral:rRNA from 1 species